rnacentral:rRNA from 1 species
CAGCAGCCGCGGGAAUACGUAGGGUGCAAGCGUUAAUCGGAAUUACUGGGCGUAAAGCGUGCGCAGGCGGUUAUAUAAGACAGAUGUGAAAUCCCCGGGCUCAACCUGGGAACUGCAUUUGUGACUGUAUAGCUAGAGUACGGCAGAGGGGGAUGGAAUUCCGCGUGUAGCAGUGAAAUGCGUAGAUAUGCGGAGGAACACCGAUGGCGAAGGCAAUCCCCUGGGACUGUACUGACGCUCAUGCACGAAAGCGUGGGGAGCAAACAGGAUUAGAUACCCGUGUAGUCCCUGUCUCUUAUAC